GUACUAUUCCCUCCGUCCCAAAAUUUUUGUCUUAGAUUUGUCUAGAUAUGGAUGUAUCAAGUCACGUUUUAGUAUUAGAUACAUCCGUAUCUAGACAAAUCUAAGACAAGAAUUUUGGGACAGAGAGAGUACAUA
rnacentral:pre_miRNA from 1 species